GAUGAACGCUGGCGGCGUGCCUAAUACAUGCAAGUCGAACGGGGAGUAGCAAUACUCUUAGUGGCGAACGGGUGAGUAACGCGUUGGUACCUGCCCCGAAGCGGGGGAUAACGGACCGAAAGGUCCGCUAAUACCCCAUGUGCUCGGUAACGAGUAAAGGUGAAAACCACUUUGGGAGGGGCAUGCGUCCCAUCAGCUAGUUGGUAAAGUAACGGCUUACCAAGGCGAUGACGGGUAGGGGACCUGAGAGGGUGGCCCCCCACAAUGGAACUGAAACACGGUCCAUACACCUACGGGUGGCAGCAGUAGGGAAUAUUGGUAAUGGGCGCAAGCCUGAACCAGCAACGCCGCGUGUGCGAUGACGGCCUUCGGGUUGUAAAGCACUUUUGACUGGGACGAGGAAGGACGGUACCGGUCGAAUCAGCCUCGGCUAACUACGUG
rnacentral:rRNA from 1 species